UACGGGGGGAGCAAGCGUUGUUCGGAAUUACUGGGCGUAAAGGGCUCGUAGGCGGCCAACUAAGUCAGACGUGAAAUCCCUCGGCUUAACCGGGGAACUGCAUCUGAUACUGGAUGGCUUGAGUUCGGGAGAGGGAUGCGGAAUUCCAGGUGUAGCGGUGAAAUGCGUAGAUAUCUGGAGGAACGCCGGUGGCGAAAGCGACACACUGGAUCUUGUCUGACGCUGAGGCACGAAAGCCAGGGGAGCGAACGGG
rnacentral:rRNA from 1 species